rnacentral:lncRNA from 1 species
UAAAAUGAUCACCCUGCUUUUGCAUAUCUUUUUUUCAUCAUGAAGAUCCAACCGCCUUGUUAAUCAUUUGAUCAGAACCACCAAAUGCCAUCCGUUUGAUUUGUUGACUUACAUGUUUGACUUGGAUAGCUUCUAGUUGGUAGCCAAUGUGAUGCAUGUGAUUAGGAUCAUGUCCUCAUUAAGACAAGUUGGAUGUAGUCAACACUCUAUCCAUAGUUCCACAUAUACAAAGACAAAAAGGAUUGCUCUAGGACUAGCUCAAUUAGGAUAUCUAGAUUUUUUACACUGAAC